GUUUAAUAUAGUCCAUUUCUAACACCACUUUAUAGUCUGUUUCUUUGUGUUGUUGGUCUUGGCUAGCUUAAUGUUCGGCUUGGUAGCUAGCUAGCUAGCACACACAUGGCUAAGGUUAGCGCCGUCAUGAAAAGCAGCAUGAGGUAAGCACUACAAGAUUACUUUUUAGUGUCAACACUCGGGAGCAGUCAACGUUGAAAAGUCAUCUUCAGACAUGUUGUACUUUUCUAAAAUACAGUUUUGCAAUUGACUAAAACAAGCCGACAACAAGAAUAUUUUGUUUGAAAAAGGUUCUUGCUGUGAGCCAAUAAACAAGGUAAUAAUGGGUUGUCUUCCCCACAGGUGGGCAGGGCCCACAACGUUCUAUUUAAUACCGACUGGGACUAUGUCAGGGCAAAGAAAUGGAUGACUAGGAGGGGAAGGUAGGAAUCAGGCGCAGAGAGCAGAGGGUUCACGGAGAAAUGCGCUUUAUUCCGGCACAAAAUGGGCAUGCCCAAAACACAGACCAACCCAAAACACAGGGCGGAAAACACUGACCAACCCAAAACACUGACCAACCCAAAACACAGACCAACCCAAAACACUGACCAACCCAAAACACAGACCAACCCAAAACACUGACCAACCCAAAACACUGACAAACCCAAAACACAGGGCUGAAAACACUGACCAACCCAAAACACAGGGCGGAAAACACUGACCAACCCAAAACACAGGGAGGAAAACACUGACCAACCCAAAACACAGGGAGGAAAACACUGACCAACCCAAAACACAGGGCCCAAAACACAGACCAACCCAAAACACAGGCGGAAAACACAGACCAACCCAAAACACAGGGCGGAAAACACAGACCAACCCAAAACACAGGGCGGAAAACACAGACCAACCCAAAACACAGACCAACCCAAAACACAGGGUGAAAAAUACUCACCAACCCAAAACACAGGGCGGAAAUCACAGACCAACCCAAAACACAGGGAGGAAAACACUGACCAACCCAAAACACAGGGCGGAAAACACUGACCAACCCAAAACACAGGGCGGAAAACACAGACCAACCCAAAACACAGACCAACCCAAAACACUGACCAACCCAAAACACAGACCAACCCAAAACACUGACCAACCCAAAACACAGACCAACCCAAAACACAGACCAACCCAAAACACAGACCAACCCAAAACACAGACCAACCCAAAAACACAGGGCGGAAAACACUGACCAAACCAAAACACAGGGUAACACGGUCCAGAGCACAAUAACACCUCCGAUACAAGUGAGCCAACUUCGGCUUGAGUCGUGACACACGGCCACAUUUAUCCUUCUUUUUUUAAAGGGCCGUUCUAUUUCUUUCUGUUUCUGUUACAAGAAGACGAUAGACAUUGAUUGACUCCUCAAACCUGCUGCACCUUCUCAAUUAAUAAACAUCUAAUCGUAAUGAAGUUGUUUUUUUGUUAUUACUCUACGUAUAGGGUUUCUUAAACUAUGGGUUGGGACCCAAAGUGAGUCCUGGGCAUGUGAGAGGUUGAUCACGAGUUAUGAGAAUAAACCAAGACUCUUCCUAGAUCUGGCCGCCCGGCCAAACUGAGCAAUCGGGAGAGAAGGGCCUUGGUCAGGGAGGUGACCAAUAACCAGAUGGUCACUCUGACAGAGCUCUAGAGUUCCUCCGUGGAGAUGGGAGAACCUUCUCUGCAGCAUUCCACUAAUCAGGCCUUUAUGGUAGUGGCCAGACGGAAGCCACUCCUCAGUAUAAGGCACAUGACAGCCCGCUUGGUUUGCCAAAA
ensembl:lncRNA